UCCUGUGUUGGUUGCCUAACGUGAUGGAAAUCGACCCUCGAUGAGUCCUAGUUUUCGCCUCUCACCAAUCGUGGUGUUAGGUUGACGAGAAAGUACUGCCCAUUCUCCUUGAAUGCUUCGCCCUUUCGUGUUGCAGUCAUGGCCAAUGGGUUGCUACUAGUUCCCUCGGAUGCAGAACUUUUGAAAGGUGCACAGCACGUUGCUGUUGUUUACCCACAAAGCGUUCAUCGCUCGAUGCGUACAUACGACGGUUGCGCCCGUCUUGGUCCCCCUCCUUAACUUAUUUGGAUGGGGCUCAUGCGGUGCCGGCGUCGCGAAGGAAUGCUACCNGNNNNAUCC
rnacentral:misc_RNA from 1 species